rnacentral:rRNA from 1 species
GAUGAACGCUGGCGGCGUGCCUAAUACAUGCAAGUCGAGCGAACAGAUGAGGAGCUUGCUCCUCUGACGUUAGCGGCGGACGGGUGAGUAACACUUGGAUAACCUACCUAUAAGACUGGGAUAACUUCGGGAAACCGGAGCUAAUACCGGAUAAUAUAUUGAACCGCAUGGUUCAAUAGUGAAAGACGGUUUUGCUGUCACUUAUAGAUGGAUCCGCGCCGCAUUAGCUAGUUGGUAAGGUAACGGCUUACCAAGGCAACGAUGCGUAGCCGACCUGACAGGGUGAUCGGCCACACUGGAACUGAGACACGGUCCAGACUCCUACGGGAGGCAGCAGUAGGGAAUCUUCCGCAAUGGGCGAAAGCCUGACGGAGCAACGCCGCGUGAGUGAUGAAGGUCUUCGGAUCGUAAAACUCUGUUAUUAGGGAAGAACAAAUGUGUAAGUAACUAUGCACGUCUUGACGGUACCUAAUCAGAAAGCCACGGCUAACUACGUG